UCUUAUUUUUAAAAAAAUGUUGUCUUUAAUGCCUCCCCCCAACAAUUCUAGACAAAGGGACCAUUUUGACUUGCUUAAUAUAAACUUAAUUUAUACGUUAUAAUGAUACAUAUUGUAUAAAUAAUGUAUAAACAUGGUCUUGUUCUAUCAGGUUAAUAUAAAGUUAUAUAAACAGUUUUAUUCUUUCAAGGUAUCGCCUCUAUUGACAAAACGAUUUUCCUGUACUAUUCAGUGUUCUUAGUUAAUAGACAAAUUCCUUCUGGAUAAUUUAAAUGGAAGGGGAUUUAUUACAGAGUGUUAAUUGACUGAUAGAAUUUCUGUGUGUGCAUUGAACCAAGGUUGUGUUACAUAGAGAGGAGUGAUGCAAGUUGAAGAAAUGCCCAAACACAUCAUGAUACUGUUUCCAAAAAAUGAAGAAAUCUUGCUGCUGCCUUUGGCUGUUUGAUAGCUGUUCACCAAAUCCUCCUCCAGAGCUGCUUUUGAAACACCUAAGGCCUCCCUGGCCGUGUAUGUAAGAUCUGUGUAGUCCUUGCUUCACAAUAUUGUCUGUACCAUCAAAGUUUCAUGAGCCCUACAGACUAGUCUGCCACCAGAGUCAGAGUGACCUUCGUGAAUGGAAAAAAUCAGAUCACGUCAUUCUCUGCCUGAAACUCAUCAAUGGUUUUCCAAACUUGCCAGCACCACAGAGCUUCUCUGAUCUCAUGGUCUACCAUACUUCUUGCACCCACAUUCCAGCCACAUUAGAAUAUCAGAGUCAUAAUGUCAGGACCCAUUCUACUUCUUCAAGGUUUUAUCUCCAGCACCUAGAACAAUACUUCUAUAAUGCCAGUUGCCAUGUUAUGACCUGCUAUAUUGAGAGGCCUAUGUGACAAAGAACUGAAGAAAUGAGUCCUCAGUCCAAAAGCCAAUGAGAAAGUGAAUCCUGCCAACAAUCCCUGAAGUGAAUUUAGAAACAGAUCCAUCUUCAUUUGAGCCUUAAGAUGACUGCAGCCUUGUGAGAGACUCAGAGUCAGAGGACCCAGUUAAGUACCUGGACUCCUGACCCACAGGAAUAAUAAAAGUAUGUGAGAUAAAUAUAUGUGCUAUUGUAAAUGCUUGCUAUUUUAAACUACU
rnacentral:lncRNA from 1 species